UGUUCCGCCGCCGUCGAACUAUCAAGCCCAGAAGAGAGAGUUGCCGUUGUACUGUCGAGAAGAGAGAGCUUGCGCAGAGAGGGAGAACUCGCGAAGGAGGGGUUGCUGCCCAUAGUCGCCGCCGUUCGUUUCUUGUCGUCACCGUUCUGCCUUCCAUCAAGCUCGAACAGUCACUGUUCGUGGAGCUUGCCGCCAUCGCCGUUCAAGCUGCUGCUGCCGCCGUCACACGCGACACCACCGAAGUUCCCCUCAUCGUCGUCGACUCAUCUGCGACUUCGUUCCCCAAAGGCUCAUCACCCUGCUCAUGGUGGCUUUGUUUGCUCAUAACCUUUUGGUUGGAGGCUUUGUUCAUCUUGCUGUUGUUGUCGUCAUUCAUUUGUUCUUCUCCAUUUCUUUGUGGUUGCUUUUCUUCUCUGUUUGUUGUUGUUACUCACUUGUUCUCUUCUCCAAUCAAAGUGUAUCAAGAAGUUUUAAUUGGAGCAUGCACAAAUGUGAAUAUCUAUUACUGGAAGGCCAUACUUGCUAUUCCAUCAUGGGUAUCCAUUCUUCUUGCAUCACUGGUUGAGAAGUGAGGCUUGUGAGCAAAGAAUCCGAACAUCGUGGUGGAGGAUCUCUCAUUCUUUGUUUUCUGGAUUUUGCGAAUUUAACUUGUGGAGCAACUGCAAUGAGUGCCUUGCAAGAUGUGCUCAAAGAAAAACUUGAAGAGCAACAAACACGACAAGAGGAAGAAUUAGCUCGAGUGAAAGCUCAAUUGGAAACUCAACAAGCCAUUGUAAACUCUUUCAUAACGCGCUUUGACAACGAAAGAAAUAGACAAUUAAAGGUACCCCUAAAAUUUCUUAUGGUUUUAAUACAUAUUCAUAGAUGAUUCAUAUAUUAUUAGUAUAGUUUAAUUGUAUAUGGAUGUAUUUAUUAUAUUUUACUUGUGACAUGGUUGAUAAAUGACAAAUGUUCUAUUAUUUGGUUUGAUAAAUUUGGUUGUGUAUUGGAUGAGAAAUAAGUAAUGAAUUAGUUGUUAUUGAUUGAACCAUAGACGGUGAAAAUAUCCAAGUUUUAGAGAGGUUCUGCCAAAAUUUUUCUAAAGAUUUGAAUAAAAGUUAAUGAAAAAAAUUGUAAUUGGUGUUAUAUCUUGUUUCUAAAUGACUCAAGAAUAUUUUGAUUCAUAGAGACACUAAUCUAUGUUAGACUUUUAACUUUUAGUCGAACUUGUGUAAGAAAUAUAACUCGUAGAACUAAUCAAUAUAGACAU